GACGUAGGAGGCGAGCGUUUGUCCGGAUUCAUUGGGCGUAAAGAGCACGCAGGCGGUUCGGCAAGUCGGAUGUGAAAACCCGCGGCUUAACCGUGGGCUUGCAGCCGAUACGGGCAGGCUAGAGUUCGGUAGGGGAGAUCGGAAUUCCUGGUGUAGCGGUGAAAUGCGCAGAUAUCAGGAGGAACACCGGUGGCGAAGGCGGAUCUCUGGGCCUUACCUGACGCUCAGGUGCGAAAGCUAGGGGAGCGAACAGG
rnacentral:rRNA from 1 species